AAGUCGUAACAAGGUUUCCGUAGGUGAACCUGCGGAAGGAUCAUUCAUAAUAAGUGUUUUAUGGCACUUUUUAAAUCCAUAUCCACCUUGUGUGCAAUGUCAGGGUUGAGUUUCUUUCGAGAGACUCGACCCCAAACAUCAACUAUAAUCUCAACUCUUUGUCUGAAAAAUAUUAUGAAUAAAACAAUUCAAAUACAA
rnacentral:misc_RNA from 1 species